rnacentral:rRNA from 1 species
GGCGAUAGCAAGAAGGAUACACCUGUUCCCAUAUCGAACACAGUAGUUAAGCUUCUUAGCGCCGAUGGUAGUGGGGGUUGCCCCCUGUGAGAGUAGGACGUUGCCACGC